GGCCACAUCACAUUGAAACAUUGGUUUCCGUACGAUCACCGAAGUUAAGCAACGUCGAAUUUGGUCAGUACCUAGAUAGGUGACAACUUGGGAAUACCAGGUCCUGUA